ensembl:lncRNA
CUGGCACCAGAGCUGCUGCUCCAGGACACUGGCUGUAGCUGACUUCUGUGCUUCCACUUGUGCCAGAAUGGGUGAAGUCAUUACCCAAGAGUUCCAUUCUGGGAAAAUAGUGACAAGAGCUCUCUGACAACUAAAGACCACCAAACCACCCAAAGUUGGGAAAGCGUUACCACUGAGAAUGCAAAGGCAAGAUGGCAGUGGGAAGAAGAAUUCAACCUCUCAGCCGUUUCCUGGUAGCUUGUAUUUCAUCACCCGCUGGGAAAGACAAAUGGAAAUACCUGGGCUCAGUGCAGGGGUCAGUAGCAGCAGUUUGUCCAUAUUCCUGCUCUGAUUAGAGCCGGAAAUUAAACAAGCACCAGUUCAUCUCAAAAGAGCCUUAUACAAACACACACACACACACCCAAACCCAUUCACAUGUCAUCACCACCCCCUUUUAUUUAAAUUUAUUAUUUUUUUACUAAAAUAAUACAAAAAAGAGAGACAGGUAUAUUUACAAAAAUCCAUGGCUGGUACAGUACAUAAUUUUUAAGACACACUAAAUGCUACAAUCUUUCAGGUCCUGAGAUUAUUACAAAUAUCAACUCAAAGCUGUGUUCAGGUCCAGUUUUAAAGGAGGAAAAAAAAUCCCAAAAUAUUAAGUCAUACACUUAUUUAAAAUACAGUAUAUCCCUUCAAAUUAGCAAAAACACACCUCCCUAUAAACAAAUGCAAUACAGUAAGCGGUGCCUUUCCCCCAGGGGAGCAGCAAUUGUUUAGGCUCCUUCCUUCAAGGUUGGUUGUGAAAGCUGUUGGCGUCUUUAUCAAGUAUGGAGGAGGGUGCAGUGAGAGGAGGAUGUGUAACUGGAGGGAAGUUCCUCGACAGAGGGAACGCUCACUGUACAAAUACGUCCUGUUUUUCCUUCUGUCACCAAACAAAAGUCUUUCCCUUAUCAAAACUCACACUGUAAGGGUUGGAAAUAUGUGCUUACCCAGACUAAAAAUCAGAAUCCUUAUUUCCAAUCAGUUAUAGCAAAUAGGUCUGCAGUCCCAUAAUAAUUUUUACAGCUAUAAAUAGAUUUUCUUGCUUGUAAUAAAAGAGAGAAAACACCUUGGUAGAGUCUGAUUAACAUAUUAUUUGGGGCACAAAAUUUUCACCAGCCAGAAAUUUCUUUUCCUCUUCUUUUAAGCCUGACAGUGUUUAGUGAGCAAAACACAAGGGCAAGCCCCAGAUUUACAUACUCUUCUUAAGAACAAUUUGAUAUUUUUGAUACCUACUAUAAUACAAUUUUUCAAUGACAGCCAACAAAAGGACUGUCCAAGCUUGAAUCCUUUCUCUGGAGGCUGGCCAUGGAUUCAAGGAAAUUAUUUGUAGGUUGGGAACCUAUUCUACUGGUGGAAGGGCCCUUUGCUUAUCUGAAGGUCUCAGAAGGUAUAUGUAAUUAAUUACAUAGGCAUAUCAGGAUUUUAAAAGUUGGCCAAAGUUGGCCAACUUUCCAACUAACUAUAUAAAACAAUAAAACCUUUGUCAACUGAAAAUAACUUCUUUCUCUUUUAAUGCUUCUAGCCAGAAUUGGGGUAAUCCUUGGUAAUUGUGCAGGUACGGGAAAGAACACCCAAUGUUUGGCACGGGGCACACUAUCCCUGCAAACAGCAGAGAUAAACAAAAAAUGAGGAAAGUUUACGGCCGUAAGGACAGAAAAUACAGGAUAGGUAAGAUCUGACAAAUUAAGGGCACGUUGUCACAUAGAAAAACAUGCCACCUGUCUGGUCUUGAUUCCUGCUGACUCCUAAAUGUGCUUAGAGGGUAGAUGGAGCUGUUAACUUCAAAAACAGAAGUAUUUCCAAGUUAUCUUGGGUAAUAGUCAUCUUGUUUGUAUUUCAAUUAGGUUUCCAUUAGUGCUCUCUUAUAAAAUAUUUUAAAAUUAGAUUUAGGAUAAAAUAGAAUUAUAUUAUUAUUAGGAAAAUGGGAGCAAAUAAUGUAUAGAGAGUUUUCUGAGGAACAUAAAAUUGGUACUAAGGAUUCACAUGGCCUGUUUGACUCAGACCUUUGCCGAGCAGGUUUAUUGCAGGGAAGUACGAAAUAGCAAGGCAGAGUAUUAUGAAGGUAAGAGCCCCUAACAAAAGUCUGCAUCUCUCUUGAAUAACCUUGAGAAGUAUCAAGAAGCAGCCAUGAAAUGCAGCUGCUACCACAUUAUACAGCAGAGAAAUCUAUUUUUUUAAUACAAAGGAGAAGAGAAAAAAAAAAUCCAGUUACUAAUGAUGAUUCUAAGUCCUGGAUAUAUAGAGCCCCUUAAUUGUACUACUGAGAUUUCUGUAAGUAUUCUUGACCUGUUUGGGUAACAGUUCAGAAAUGUGUCCAAAAUUUAAGUACUAACCUGCUAUAAAAUGGAAAUAUAUUGGAAAGAUUGAGCAGUAGAAGUAUUACAGUAUGAGGAAAUUAUAUAAAGAUCACAAAUAGCUACUUUCAAGCAAACGGUUCUUUAGGAGUAUCUGAGAAAAAUGUGAUUUAAUAUCACCUUAUUCAAAGGCAGUCUGACUGAAAUCCUAUGAGUCCCUGUCCGUGUCUAUGCGGGGAUGUAAACAGUCUCCUGGAAAACGCCUGCAGUCUGUCCUUGAAUUCAAUGGGGACACAGGAUAGAGGGUCCAAGUGAGAGAGAACAGGUGAAAGGCAGGGUGACCUUGCCUCUGCGGACCCUUAACAUGCACUUCAUAUUCCACUGUAGCAACUGGUUGACGAACAGUUAACUUAAGAGCUCACACUAGAGGAAAGAAGAAUGAAGACUAAAGGAAAUGAAGAAAGAAGAAUCAACAUUAAUAUUCAAAGCUAUUUUUAAU